CAUUACCUAAUGGCCAGUUUCUUUCAGAAUUUACAAAGGUAUCUGUACAAACUAUAUUUUAGCAUAAUAUAUUUGUAUACUUUAUUGAUGAUAACUAAUACAUUAAUAAAGCACAUAUUAUACAGUAAACAACAAAAAUAAUUUCAGUGAAGAUAUUUAGAACUAAAUGAGAUUUUAAUUGGGAUACUUUUGUAACUACUCUCCCUACAUGAGAGCUGCCUCAGGCUGGAUGAGUGUGAGGAUAUCCAGUUAUUCCUUUGGGCUUGGUGCAUGGCAGGGUGCAGAGCUCAUGGCAAAUCUUGUUUAAACACUUUUAUUAUCAAAAUAUUUUAAAGCACAGACUGAAGAAAUAACAUACGAAAGUCUAUUGCAAGCCUAGGUACAAGCUGUCCUUAUUAUUGACGGAUGUUUUGUCAAACCACUCUGAGGACAGAGUAUGUCCCAAAAGCUUCGCUAACCCUUGUCUUCUGCUGGUAGGGCAGCGUCCUAGCCUGGGUCUCACAGGCUGUGUGGAGAUUCCUUCCUGGAGCAGUGUCCCCCCCUGAGGAUGAGCCAGAGAUUGGGACAUUGGACCAGGUCCCCAAGGCAGAUACCCGUCUCCACAGUUGCCUACGCAGCCGCUUUUCCCGGAAUCUACAGUUCGAUUUCAAAGACUAGCAGCUGGAAGAUGCGUUCAAGUAUCCUCUUCAGUGCAGCGUUUCAAGUAAGGAUUGCAGUCAGCGUGUCAGCUGAAGAUUGUGCGACUGUUUAUGUCUGUCUGUGAGAGCUCACAUCUGUCUGCUGAUGCUUGCGUCAGCCUGUGUGAGUGUGCUGACUGGUUCUAACCUUGUGUGUACAACUUUUACCUUUCAGGUUUUUCAAUUAAUUUUUACAUGUAGAAUAAAAAAAACCCAGCUGGGGUUUUGGGUUUUUUUUCCCCCCGGCUGGGUUUUUUAUCCUCGGUCCCAGCCGGUCUGCGAGGUGACGUUCAUGGUCAAAGUUAGGGCGUAGACCGUCCAGGGACCGGGGUUUUCGUCAGGCAGGAGGGUUUUUCCGAUGCUCCCGGGAACCACGAGAGCGACAGUGAGUCGCAGGUAAGCCUAAAGAGUUGCAUGUGGCGGAUGAGAGUUUAGUUUUCUGUGUGCCAAUUGUCUUUUGGAUUUCCUGUAUAAAUAAAACAAACUGCGGUCAACAGUUCUGAAAUAGGAGGAUGGAUAUAUCGUGUUAAUAUGUAUUUGGCUUGCAGUCAAUGGUAUUGUGCAUUUGCUGCUUCAUUUCCAUGUAUUGCUCUAUAUGUGAGUUUGCAUUUAACAGCGUGUAUAUGGAUUGUAUUUGUAAUUCAAUUUGUAUCUGUACUUGCCUUUGUAUACAUUGUUCGGCUGUGUUUUGAUGAAGUGUAAAUAAAAAAAUUUAAUUCAAUAAA